CCAGAACAGCCUGUUCCUCCCCUCAGUGCUAUUAACAUAAAUAUGUGCAUGGGGCCUUCAGCUCCUGCUUCUCUCUGUGUACAGGAGGCUUAAGGGGCCUUGAAAGCCGGAGGCCAAAGAGAAAUCAGAGGAGAGGAAGUGUUGUUAGAGGCACAAGAAUGAAAAGGGGAAAAGGACAGGACGUUGCUAAGAGACAAUGUCAAGCUGGGCCAUGGGAUUAACAGCCAGUAUCAAAGCAAGUACUUAAUGAUGGAGAAAUUAAGGCAUUGAAAAGUCACUUGCCCCAGAUGACACAGCUAGUGGACAGUCGAGGAAAUGUGGGCUCUGGAGUUGAAUCACGAUCUAGAUUCAAAUCUUGGUCCUGCCAUUUGCUGGAGGGACAUGUUUAGGAGGGCAUCCCAGGAGAAGGCAGAGUCCAGGAGGCGGAUGUUGGGAAGCAAAUCCUGAACUCAUCAAGUCCCAUAGCCCCUUUGUCUAUGGACCUUCUGCCAGCAUCUUCUGUAAGAGUAAUGGUUCACCUAUCUCUUGCCCUGGGAGGCUGACACCUGUAGACUGCAUCUCACGCUCUCCUUGGCCAGCUAGCUUCAAGUUGAGUUCAGCUAGAAAACAACCCUGACAAGGAAAUGAGAAGUUUCUUCAAUCAACCCUUAUUUUUCUUUGCUGUGAGGACCAGGAAGGAACCAAUCUGUUUAAAAACUGUUGCCCGCUGGUGGCUCGUUGCCAGGUCUGAGAUAACACUGGUGGUCCCUCUGAGGGCUGAGGACGCAUUCCCCGGGUACUGCAAUCAGAGCAGACGCAUGUGCAGCUGUGGAUGGAGGGAGCUGACGUGUUCUCUCCGGGAGCAGAGGAGCAAAUGUCACGAGAAAAGCCCUUGAAAAUGGUUCUCAUCCCUUUCUCCAUCGCAGACAACCCAGAAUAAACUGUUCUGAAAUGUUGACGUUUAAUAAUAUUAAUAUUAGUAAUGGCUGGAAAGGGCUUCUGGUAAUGAGAUUCCAGGAUAAAUAGGUCACUGGGUUUUCAUUGCUUAUCAAUGAAGUUCCCAAAAAGAUCUUUUUUAAGGAAAUAGGCUCAUGUAAACUUUUUUUUUUUUAAAAAAAGGAAGGAAAUACAUUGUCUUUAUAAUAAGGCAAUGCAAGAGGGAUUUUUGUUGAUUUGUUUUGAGGAACUAUUUAUAAAAUGAUGAAGAUUUUAAAAAAUAAAAAAGGCUGAGCAUGGUGGCUUAUGAAUGUAAUCCCAGCACUUUGAGAGGCCAAGGCAGGAGAAUCGCUUGAGCCCAGAAGUUCAAGAUCAGGCUAGGCAACAUAGUGAGACCUUGUCUCUAAGAAAAAUGAAAAAAAAAAAAAAAAUUAGCCAGGCAUGGUGGCACACACCUGUGGUCCCAGCUACUCGGGAGACUGAGGUGGGAGAAUGGCUUGAGCCCAGGAAGUUGGGGCUGCAGUGAGCCUGUGAUUGCACCACUACACUCCAGCCUGGGUGACAGAGCAAGACCCUGUCUCAAAAAAAAUAAAAAUAAUUUAAAAAGAAAACAAAAUUGAGAAUCCUCUGCUGGUCCCUGUUAUGUCUUACUCAGAAAGUGACAUAGGUGAAUUUUAUCUUAGGAAAAUGUACUGCUACUGUGUUUCCAGCUGUAUCAGUGCAUUCUUACCUUCCCUAAAUUAAAAGCCCAUCACUGCUAGCUCCUAAGGACUCCUUUCAGUACCGCCUUUUCAAUGCCACUUGAGCAUCAUGGUUCUAACAGUUAAGUUUGGCCUGCUUUGCGCUGUAAAACUUGCCUGCAAAUAGCUUGGUGGUCUGCCCUGGAUUUGCCAGGAGCCUGUUUUUUGAAAGGGGCUUAAGGCACAAGGCUGCUGAGUUUGGAAUCAUUUUGCCAACCCUGGCAGCCUCUGUGACUCUAUGAUUUCUUUAAUGUUCCCGUCUUUCUCAUUUCCCUAAAUAAACUGAAGCCUUUACUGGAAGGUCAAGUAAAUGUUACUGUGAAUCACUACUAGUAGAGGCUCCAGAAAAGGGAAUCCUGGUUGCUCUCAAAUAAUCUUGAAAUUUCACUCUUUUAAUUAUUUUUAAGCCCCUGUUCUUAAAAAAAACUGUAGAAACAUAUGUAACAUAUAUAAACCAAAAUGUCUACUGAUUUUCAGGCUAACUGAAGACUAACUAGAAAUAAGUUUAUUGCCCCAAUGCUGUUGUUCAGAAGCUUUCUGAUAUGUUCAUUCACCUUCCUGCCUUAUUAAUCAGAGUAAACAUGAUGAACUGUAUAUUUCUAUGUAACAUCAUAUACCAUACUAAUUUUCACUUGCGUUCUUAAUAUAAUUUAUCUUUUUGGGAAUUGGGCAUUGAACUACAUUAAGUAGUUUCAGUAUCUCCCCUUGAAUAUGUUGAGGGAAUCUUUUGAAAUCAACUUUGUACUGUCAUUUCAUUUUCUUUUCGUAUACAGCUAAGAUUUAUUGAGUGCUUACUGUGAGCCAGACAAUGUGAUAAGUGUUUUAAGUGAAUGAUCUAUUUUAAUGCUUUUUAAAAAUCAACACUGACUUAGUAAUAGUGUUUUCCCUUUAUUAAAGAUGAAGAAACUGAGUUCAGAAAAGUGAACUGACUUACCAAGGUUACUCAACCAGUAAGUGUUGAAAUCAUAACUAAACUGUAGCUGUGUUUGACCACACAGCCUUGCUUACAACUCACAAAAGACUUGAGUUCCAUUCCCAGCUUUGAACUUUAUAGACCAAGUAAUUCUUGACCUCCCCAGGCAUCUUCAUCCUUAUUUAUAAAAUGAAGGUAAUAGUGCCUCCCUUCCAAAGUUGGGGUACUAAGACUUGUGAGAAAUUACUUCCAAACUCUAAAAUGCUAAAUACACGUAAUGUUAUUGCUUUUACAUGUUUAUUAGCUAGCGAUGUCUUUAGUUAAUUGCAUUAGCUAAAUUAACAUAUUAUGCUUAGAUUAUAGGUGGGAAGCCUCACUAUUAGCUAGCGA
rnacentral:lncRNA from 1 species